rnacentral:sRNA from 1 species
AUAUCUCUCUGUACCGGAAGGAUGAGAAGCUUCGGCUAAGGUUCGAUUCGAGCGAAAGCGAGAAAGCGUUGCCGCAGGCAACGACCCGAAGGGCGAAGCGCGCAGCGCUGAGUCAUCCUUCCCCCACCACCA